UUAAGCGACUAAGCGUACACGGUGGAUGCCCUGGCAGUCAGAGGCGAUGAAGGGCGUGCUAAUCUGCGAUAAGCGCCGGUAAGGUGAUAUGAACCGUUAUAACCGGCGAUACCCGAAUGGGGAAACCCAGUGUGAUUUGUCACACUAUCAUUAACUGAAUCCAUAGGUUAAUGAGGCGAACCGGGGGAACUGAAACAUCUAAGUACCCCGAGGAAAAGAAAUCAACCGAGAUUCCCCCAGUAGCGGCGAGCGAACGGGGAGGAGCCCAGAGCCUGAAUCAGCAUGUGUGUUAGUGGAAGCGUCUGGAAAGGCGCGCGAUACAGGGUGACAGCCCCGUACACAAAAGCGCAUGUGCUGUGAGCUCGAUGAGUAGGGCGGGACACGUGGUAUCCUGUCUGAAUAUGGGGGGACCAUCCUCCAAGGCUAAAUACUCCUGACUGACCGAUAGUGAACCAGUACCGUGAGGGAAAGGCGAAAAGAACCCCGGCGAGGGGAGUGAAAAAGAACCUGAAACCGUGUACGUACAAGCAGUGGGAGCACAGGUUUACCUGUGUGACUGCGUACCUUUUGUAUAAUGGGUCAGCGACUUAUAUUCUGUAGCAAGGUUAACCGAAUAGGGGAGCCGUAGGGAAACCGAGUCUUAACCGGGCGUUAAGUUGCAGGGUAUAGACCCGAAACCCGGUGAUCUAGCCAUGGGCAGGUUGAAGGUUGGGUAACACUAACUGGAGGACCGAACCGACUAAUGUUGAAAAAUUAGCGGAUGACCUGUGGCUGGGGGUGAAAGGCCAAUCAAACCGGGAGAUAGCUGGUUCUCCCCGAAAGCUAUUUAGGUAGCGCCUCGUGAAUUCAUCUCCGGGGGUAGAGCACUGUUUCGGCUAGGGGGCCAUCCCGGCUUACCAACCCGAUGCAAACUGCGAAUACCGGAGAAUGUUAUCACGGGAGACACACGGCGGGUGCUAACGUCCGUCGUGAAGAGGGAAACAACCCAGACCGCCAGCUAAGGUCCCAAAGUCAUGGUUAAGUGGGAAACGAUGUGGGAAGGCCCAGACAGCCAGGAUGUUGGCUUAGAAGCAGCCAUCAUUUAAAGAAAGCGUAAUAGCUCACUGGUCGAGUCGGCCUGCGCGGAAGAUGUAACGGGGCUAAACCAUGCACCGAAGCUGCGGCAGCGACACUAUGUGUUGUUGGGUAGGGGAGCGUUCUGUAAGCCGUCGAAGGUGGCCUGUGAGGGUUGCUGGAGGUAUCAGAAGUGCGAAUGCUGACAUAAGUAACGAUAAAGCGGGUGAAAAGCCCGCUCGCCGGAAGACCAAGGGUUCCUGUCCAACGUUAAUCGGGGCAGGGUGAGUCGACCCCUAAGGCGAGGCCGAAAGGCGUAGUCGAUGGGAAACGGGUUAAUAUUCCCGUACUUGGUGUUACUGCGAAGGGGGGACGGAGAAGGCUAUGUUGGCCGGGCGACGGUUGUCCCGGUUUAAGCGUGUAGGUGUGUGUUCCAGGUAAAUCCGGUUCACUUUAACACUGAGGCGUGACGACGAGGCACUACGGUGCUGAAGCAACAAAUGCCCUGCUUCCAGGAAAAGCCUCUAAGCAUCAGGUAACAUCAAAUCGUACCCCAAACCGACACAGGUGGUCAGGUAGAGAAUACCAAGGCGCUUGAGAGAACUCGGGUGAAGGAACUAGGCAAAAUGGUGCCGUAACUUCGGGAGAAGGCACGCUGACAUGUAGGUGAAGUGAUUUACUCACGGAGCUGAAGUCAGUCGAAGAUACCAGCUGGCUGCAACUGUUUAUUAAAAACACAGCACUGUGCAAACACGAAAGUGGACGUAUACGGUGUGACGCCUGCCCGGUGCCGGAAGGUUAAUUGAUGGGGUCAGCGCAAGCGAAGCUCCUGAUCGAAGCCCCGGUAAACGGCGGCCGUAACUAUAACGGUCCUAAGGUAGCGAAAUUCCUUGUCGGGUAAGUUCCGACCUGCACGAAUGGCGUAAUGAUGGCCAGGCUGUCUCCACCCGAGACUCAGUGAAAUUGAACUCGCUGUGAAGAUGCAGUGUACCCGCGGCAAGACGGAAAGACCCCGUGAACCUUUACUAUAGCUUGACACUGAACAUUGAGCCUUGAUGUGUAGGAUAGGUGGGAGGCUUUGAAGCGUGGACGCCAGUCUGCGUGGAGCCGACCUUGAAAUACCACCCUUUAAUGUUUGAUGUUCUAACGUGGACCCGUUAUCCGGGUUGCGGACAGUGUCUGGUGGGUAGUUUGACUGGGGCGGUCUCCUCCUAAAGAGUAACGGAGGAGCACGAAGGUUGGCUAAUCCUGGUCGGACAUCAGGAGGUUAGUGCAAUGGCAUAAGCCAGCUUGACUGCGAGCGUGACGGCGCGAGCAGGUGCGAAAGCAGGUCAUAGUGAUCCGGUGGUUCUGAAUGGAAGGGCCAUCGCUCAACGGAUAAAAGGUACUCCGGGGAUAACAGGCUGAUACCGCCCAAGAGUUCAUAUCGACGGCGGUGUUUGGCACCUCGAUGUCGGCUCAUCACAUCCUGGGGCUGAAGUAGGUCCCAAGGGUAUGGCUGUUCGCCAUUUAAAGUGGUACGCGAGCUGGGUUUAGAACGUCGUGAGACAGUUCGGUCCCUAUCUGCCGUGGGCGCUGGAGAACUGAGGGGGGCUGCUCCUAGUACGAGAGGACCGGAGUGGACGCAUCACUGGUGUUCGGGUUGUCAUGCCAAUGGCACUGCCCGGUAGCUAAAUGCGGAAGAGAUAAGUGCUGAAAGCAUCUAAGCACGAAACUUGCCCCGAGAUGAGUUCUCCCUGAGACUUAGAGUCUCCUGAAGGAACGUUGAAGACGACGACGUUGAUAGGCCGGGUGUGUAAGCGCAGCGAUGCGUUGAGCUAACCGGUACUAAUGAACCGUGAGGCUUAACCUU
rnacentral:rRNA from 1 species